UACGUAGGGUGCGAGCGUUGUCCGGAAUUACUGGGCGUAAAGAGCGCGUAGGCGGGCUGUCAAGUCUGGGGUGAAAUGCUGCGGCUCAACCGUAGAACUGCCUUAGAUACUGACGGCCUCGAGGAAGGUAGGGGCAUGCGGAACUGUAGGUGGAGCGGUGAAAUGCGUUGAUAUCUACAGGAACUCCGGUGGCGAAAGCGGCGUGCUGGACCUUUUCUGACGCUGAGGCGCGAAAGCUAGGGGAGCAAACGGG
rnacentral:rRNA from 1 species